rnacentral:rRNA from 1 species
UACGAAGGGUGCAAGCGUUACUCGGAAUUACUGGGCGUAAAGCGUGCGUAGGUGGUUUGUUUAGUCUGCUGUGAAAGCCUCGGGCUCAACCUGGGAAUGGCAGUGGAUACUGGCAAGCUAGAGUGCGGUAGAGGGGUGUGGAAUUCCCGGUGUAGCGGUGAAAUGCGUAGAGAUCGGGAGGAACACCAGUGGCGAAGGCGGCACCCUGGACCAGCACUGACACUGAGGCACGAAAGCGUGGGGAGCAAACAGG